rnacentral:rRNA from 1 species
AGUGAACGCUGGCGGUAGACCUAACACAUGCAAGUCGAACGGCAGCACAGUAAGAGCUUGCUCUUACGGGUGGCGAGUGGCGGACGGGUGAGGAAUACAUCGGAAUCUACUUUUUCGUGGGGGAUAACGUAGGGACACUUACGCUAAUACCGCAUACGACCUACGGGUGAAAGCAGGGGAUCUUCGUACCUUGCGCGAUUGAAUGAGCCGAUGUCGGAUUAGCUAGUUGGCGGGGUAAAGGCCCACCAAGGCGACGAUCCGUAGCUGGUCUGAGAGGAUGAUCAGCCACACUGGAACUGAGACACGGUCCAGACUCCUACGGGAGGCAGCAGUGGGGAAUAUUGGACAAUGGGCGCAAGCCUGAUCCAGCCAUACCGCGUGAGUGAAGAAGGCCUUCGGGUUGUAAAGCCCUUUUGUUGGGAAAGAAAAGCAGCAGGUUAAUACCCCGCUGUUCUGACGGUACCCAAAGAAGAAGCACCGGCUAACUUCGUG